rnacentral:ncRNA from 1 species
GAGAGCCAAAUGAAUUGAAAGAUUCAUGUUUGGUUUGGGAAGGGAUCAUGGAAGAUACCAAGGGACUGUAAAACAUUUAUUUGGAAAUCCUUAAUAUAUACUUAAC